AUUGAACGCUGGCGGCAGGCCUAACACAUGCAAGUCGAGCGAGCGGCGGACGGGUGAGUAAUGUAUGGGGACUGCCCGAUAGAGGGGGAUAACUACUGGAAACGGUGGCUAAUACCGCAUACUAUCGGAUAACCCAUAUGGGAUUAGCUAGUAGGUGGGGUAAAGGCUCACCUAGGCGACGAUCUCUAGCUGGUCUGAGAGGAUGAUCAGCCACACUGGGACUGAGACACGGCCCAGACUCCUACGGAGGCAGCAGUGGGGAAUAUUGCGCAAUGGGGGCAACCCUGACGCAGCCAUGCCGCGUGAAUGAAGAAGGCCUUCGGGUUGUAAAGUUCUUUCGGUAGCGAGGCGUUAACUACAGAAGAAGCACCGGCUAACUCCGUGCCAGCAGCCGCGGUAAUAC
rnacentral:rRNA from 1 species